UUUAACAUGAGAGUUUGAUCCUGGCUCAGGAUGAACGCUGGCGGCGUGCUUAACACAUGCAAGUCGAACGAAGCGAUUUGGCGGAAGUUUUCGGAUGGAAGCUAAAUUGACUGAGUGGCGGACGGGUGAGUAACGCGUGGGUAACCUGCCUCACACUG
rnacentral:rRNA from 1 species